GCUUGGGUGUGGUGGCACGUGCUUGUAGUCCCAGCUACUCAGGAGGCUGGGGUGGGAGGAUCACUUGAGCCCAGGAGUUCUGUGCUGUAAGACACUAUGCCAGUUGGUGUCUGCACAAAGUUCUGCAUCAAUAUGGUGACUUCCCAGGAGCUGGGAUGUCCAUCCAGGUUGCCUAAGGGAAAAGUGAACUGGCCCAUUUCGGAAAUGGAAUUGAUCAGUAGCGGGAUUGGCCUGUGAAUAGCCAGGGCACUUCACAGCAUAGCAAGCAUAGGGAGACCCCUCACCCA
rnacentral:SRP_RNA from 1 species